rnacentral:lncRNA from 1 species
AGAACAGCAUACAAAAAAACAAGUGGAUAGCAUACGAUCAUAGAUUCAUUUUAGACUACACUAGCUUACAAACAAUUACAAUGGCAAAGUUACAUUAAUCACAAGAAUGGCUUCAGAUCAAAGUCUAUGUUGAGACCGAAGGGAGCAAGGGUCUUUAAGUUAAAGAUCCAGGCAGCCUCUCGUUUUAACAAUAAAUUAUCAAGGUCACCCCCUCUCCUAGAGAGGGUGACAUGUUCGAUGCCAAUAUAACGCAGAGACGAAAUCGAGUGGUUUGCUUCCAAAAAGUGGGCCGCAACUGGGUGAUAGGUUAUGUGAUCCGCAAAAGACCCUGCUGAAUAUGGUGGCAAGCUGGCCAGGUGGAAGGCGCAUCUCGUUCAUUCUGCAGAGCAUCAAUGUUGGCCUAUACGCCUACAGGAAGGAGCCGUUGAGGAAGGAUGGCUUAUUGUGACCUACAUGUUGUGGAGAAGCAUACAUCACGCUUUACAUUACGGCCACUGACCAGUCCAAGCCUCUCCUGGCUGACCCACACUGCAUGGACCAUUUAACUAUUUCAUUUUUAUGUACACUGAACUAAAAUAUAAACUCAACAUGUAAAGUGUUGGUCCCAUGUUUCAUGAGCUGAAAUAAAAGAUCCCAAAAAUGUUCCAUACACACAAAAAGCUUACUUCUCUCAAAUGUUGCGGACAAAAUUGUUUCCGUCCCUGUUAGUGAGCAUUUCGCCAUUGCCACGAUAAUCCAUC